rnacentral:lncRNA from 1 species
CCCUGUGAUAAGCUAUCAGAGACGUCACCAACCUUGGCAGUGUCAGAGAAAUUAAGGUAAAAAUCUGAUGACAUUUGUGAUAGGUCAUUAAGAGUGUGAUAAGGCAUUAGAAAUACCAUCAGGCUAGGUAGCGAAUGGGAACUAUGGGUAUGGCUUUGUACUGAUGCUAGAUGUUUAACGAUGCAAAAGAUGGUAGGAAAUUUUUCUAAUUUCAUUGUUUUAUAUUUUGUCUAUUAGUUGCAAAUAAUAGAUCCCUCCUUAGGUUUGUUUGCUUGAACUGAGAAAUAAUCUAAAGGUAGCGAAUUAUUAAUGGGGAUUUGGGAAGGUUAAGCUUUCAUCUAAUGGUUAAUGUUGUAACAAGAUUAAUCUACCUGAGAUAACAUCCUAUUAUGAAAUAUAAAUUCCCUAAUUUGAGACAAUUAGGAAAUAAAUUGUCUGAAUUAGUUGAAAAAAAUUUAGAUAUAUCUUUGACAAAGAUAAUCUACUGCUUCUGCCUACCACAAGAAUCUUGAAAUACUAGUGUCUGUCAAAUACCAUUGCCUAUAGUGAACAUAACUCUGGUUUUCCAUCAAACCUUGAUUACAAUUAUUUAAACUAAAUUGACCAAUAAUUUCUGGUUAAACAACAAAACCCCUAUUUAUAGGAAACCAAUAAUUACCACUUGAUUUUCUCACAAAAGACUAUAAAUUUACACCAUAUUCCUUAUGGGAUUCGACCCCAACCUAAUUGGGUUUUAUAUUGACAAUGAUCGCUUACAUUCUCAUAUGAGAGGUGUACUUUGAGCAUUAUCAAAAAUGGCUCCGUUGCCAGGGAAUAUAGUUGUAAAUUUAAGUUUGUGUGUGCUAAUUAACUGUUAGUUAAGUUUCCUGAUUUUAUGUUUAUUUAUUAUUUUUGUUUGAUUUCAGGACCCUAGUGGGGUAUUCCAAAAAAUAGAAGUUCUGGAGAUUCAUUAUUACCAUUUAAUCCAGAACCACAACUAAUCGAAAGAAUGGCAGACCAAUAUAAGGCUGACAUAUUGGCAGCCUUGGCUAGAACUCAAGUGAAUAGGCCGAAUAACGAGAAGCAAG